rfam:Roseivivax jejudonensis strain CECT 8625 genome assembly, contig: 0001
UGUCACACCUCGGGGUGCCCUGGGCGUGCGGACGCGCGCCGGGCUGAGAUGCGGGAGAGCCCGCGAACCCGUUGAACCUGAACCGGUUAAGACCGGCGGAGGGAAGGUCGCGCGGGCGAGC